UCCAGUCGAGCUGAGGCGUG
rnacentral:misc_RNA from 1 species